rnacentral:rRNA from 1 species
GUUGAACGCUGGCGGAAUGCUUUACACAUGCAAGUCGAACGGUAGAGGGGGCAACCCCUCGAGAGUGGCGAACGGGUGAGUAAUAUAUCGGAACGUGCCCAGUCGUGGGGGAUAACGUAGCGAAAGUUACGCUAAUACCGCAUACGAUCUGAGGAUGAAAGCGGGGGAUCGCAAGACCUCGCGCGAUUGGAGCGGCCGAUAUCAGAUUAGGUAGUUGGUGGGGUAAAGGCUCACCAAGCCAACGAUCUGUAGCUGGUCUGAGAGGACGACCAGCCACACUGGAACUGAGACACGGUCCAGACUCCCACGGGAGGCAGCAGUGGGGAAUUUUAGACAAUGGACGCAAGUCUGAUCCAGCCAUUCCGCGUGCAGGAUGAAGGCCCUCGGGUUGUAAACUGCUUUUGUGCGGAACGAAAAGGUCUCUCUUAAUACGGGGGACUCAUGACGGUACCGUAAGAAUAAGCACCGGCUAACUACGUGCCAGCCGCCGCGGUAAGAC